GUGCAUGCUUCGGCAGCACAUAUACUAAAAUUGAAUGAUACAGAGAAGAUUAGCAUGGCCCCUGUGCAAGGAUGACAUGAAACUUCCUGAAAUGUUCCAUAUUAAA
ensembl:snRNA U6 U6 spliceosomal RNA